GACGAACGCUGGCGGCGUGCUUAACACAUGCAAGUCGAACGGAAAGGCCCUGCUUUUGUGGGGUGCUCGAGUGGCGAACGGGUGAGUAACACGUGAGUAACCUGCCCUUGACUUUGGGAUAACUUCAGGAAACUGGGGCUAAUACCGGAUAGGAGCUCCUGCUGCAUGGUGGGGGUUGGAAAGUUUCGGCGGUUGGGGAUGGACUCGCGGCUUAUCAGCUUGUUGGUGGGGUAGUGGCUUACCAAGGCUAUGACGGGUAGCCGGCCUGAAGGGGUGACCGGCCGAGUUGGGGUAGACUAAGGACGAAGACGCGCAGGGGAGAGGUGGGUGGGAAGUAAGGCAAAGAAGCCAGAACCCGCAUCAGGCAGCGCCGGGUGAGGAAGGUCGGCCUCGGGAUGGUAAACCAGUUACGCCGGUGAAAAAGAGUGGGUAGAGAUAGUGAAAAAAGAAGCAACGACAAGCUAAGGG
rnacentral:rRNA from 1 species